GGAGGGCAGUUCGGCUGCCCCACGAACGGCUCAGUAACACGUAGUCAACCUACCCUUGGGUCGGGUAUAACCCCGGGAAACUGGGGAUAAUCCCCGAUAGGUGAGGGCACUGGAAAAGUCCCUCUCCCAAAGCUCAGGCGCCCAAGGACGGGACUGCGGCCCAUCAGGUAGUUGGCGGGGUAAAGGCCCACCAAGCCGACAACGGGUACGGGCUGUGAGAGCAGGAGCCCGGAGAUGGAGACUGAGACAAGGCUCCAGGCCCUACGGGGCGCAGCAGGUGCGAAAACUUCGCAAUGCGCGAAAGCGUGACGAGGGAAACCCAAGUGCCGAUGGUCUUUCUGAUCGUCGGCUUUUCAAGAGUUUAAAACGCUCCUGGAAUAAGAGCUGGGCAAGACUGGUGCCAGCCGCCGCGAUAACACCAGCAGCUCAAGUGGUGGUCACUAUUAUUGGGCCUAAAGCGUCCGUAGCCGGACCAGUAAGUCCCUUGUGAAAUCGGACGGCUUAACCGUUCGGCUUGCAAGGGGAACUACAGGCCUCGAGGCCGGGAGACGUCGAGGGUACCCCGGGGGUAGCGGUGAAAUGCUGUAAUCCCUGGGGGACUACCAGUGGCGGAGGCGCUCGACGGGAACGGACCUGACGGUGAGGGACGAAGGCUGGGGGAGCGAACCGGAUUAGAUACCCGGGUAGUCCCAGCUGUAAAGUAUGCUGGCCAGGUGUAGGGUGCUCC
rnacentral:rRNA from 1 species